rnacentral:siRNA from 1 species
AAACCCUCCUCGCACUCCGGUGAC